rnacentral:RNase_P_RNA from 1 species
UGAGCGGGCGUAGCGAUCGCGCCAUGGCAAGGCCAUGUCGAGGAAAGUCCGAGCUCCGCAGGACAGGGUGGUGGGUAACGUCCACCGGGAGCAAUCCCAGGGAAAGUGCCACAGAAAAUAUACCGCCGAUGCUCUUCGGAUCAUCGGUAAGGGUGAAAUGGUGAGGUAAGAGCUCACCGCAGGGGCGGUGACGUCCUUGGCAGGGUAAACCCCACCCGGAGAAAGACCAAACAGAGGUGAAGGAGUUGUCCGCUCCGUUCUCGGCGAAAGUCGGGUUAGUGCCCGGGUAGGUCGUUCGAGUUGUCCGGC